AAAAAUUAAAAAUUAAUUAUUUUUCUUAAUUUAAAAAAAAUUAAAAAAAAUUAAAAAUUUCGAAAAUCCAAAAAUGAUAGGAUUUAGUUAGGAAUUGCUAUAUCUUGCUUUCUUAGUGUAAUUAGACAUUUAUUUGCUCACAUAUUGAUUAUGUCGUAUGUUUAAUUUGCAUAUUUAAUUAUGUUUGAUUGCACGUGUUUAAUCUUAUUGCAAUUAGGAUCUUGGUAGUUAUGAUUAUUACUUUAAUGAUUGUGCGCUUGCAUGAUCACCUCACGUGUUAGUUGAUAAAUAUAAAAUCAAUCCAAAUUGCCUGCCAAAAAUCAUUUUGUUAAAAUGAACAAGAUUAGGUACCGAAAUGGCACUAAUUGGUUAAUUAGUGUAAUCAAGUCCCCGAACCUAAAUUCUCUGGUUGCGUAGGAAGUGAGGCACGCUCCCAUGUCUCACUUGGUUUCUAGCCGACCCCAAUAGGCUAGUGGCGACUCCUUUUAUGCAAAAUUCC
rnacentral:lncRNA from 1 species